UACCUGGUUGAUUCUGCCAGUAGUCAUAUGCUUGUCUCAAAGAUUAAGCCAUGCAUGUCUAAGUAUAAGCAAUUACAAAGCGAAACUGCGAAUGGCUC
rnacentral:rRNA from 2 species